rnacentral:rRNA from 1 species
UACAUGGGGUGCAAACGUUGCUCGGAAUUAUUGGGCGUAAAGGGCUCGUAGGCGGUUUGUCGCGUCGGGAGUGAAAACACCGGGCUUAACUCGGUGCUUGCUUUCGAUACGGGCAGACUUGAGUACUGCAGGGGAGACUGGAAUUCCAGGUGUAGCGGUGAAAUGCGUAGAUAUCUGGAGGAAUACCGGUGGCGAAGGCGGCAUCCUGGACCGACAUUGACGCUGAACGGCGAAAGCUAGGGGAGCAAACGGG